GCUAAACUUGUGGCCUCUUACCUUGACACAUUUCCGAAAUCACUGCCAAGGGAGAGCUGGCUUCUCCGCGCCGCGACGCCUGCGAGGCCUAGAGAAGGUGCGUUGCUUUAAAUUACACUACCAACCACUUCCUGAAGAUUUUGACUUGACGGUCGGUGAGGUUGAGCAUGCGAGACAGCUGCAGGCGCUUCUCUUUGUUGAUGUACACGCUGAAGAAGAACUCCCGCUCCAGCUCGCGGAUCUGGUACUUGGUGUAGGGGCAGCGCUUUUUUCGGGAGGCCUAACAGCCGAGCUGAGCCCACCCAGCUCAGGGAAAGACCCGACGCGAGGCUAAGGCGGCCCUGGAAGGCCAAGUCCGAGUGGCAUUUCUUGAAGAAGCUGAGACGGGCAAGGCUGUGACAUUGGCCCUGGCGACUGGUUUCCCAUGAGCUCUUCUUUCUCAGGAGCUCCAAAGCGCAGGGCCAUCUCCAGAAAACAGACAUCAACGUGUAUUUCCUUUUAUCGUCAACCCGGAGCCCCUCGGCAGCAAAUGCAAGAGGCCAAAAAUGUUUUGGAGGAAGAAAAACAAAGGCAGGAAGUGGCGGCGGCCUGACGGUGCGUGUGUGUCUGCGGAGAAGGGAGGGAGCCGUUUCAAUCUCUUGUUGUUUUUCCAAACUUCAAGGUCUAGGCAGCUUUCGCAGGGUUGGCCCCGUCGCUCCGCGCGCAGCAUUUGGAGAUGGCCACCCCGAGAGGAGAAGGCUGGCGCCCGCGCCAGCCUUGUUAAGCGGAAACGGCUAACGAGGCGAUUUGCUCAGCAAAGCAGACCGAGCCUUUCCAAAGCUUAGUUUGAUUUGGCCCUAAAAGUGGGGUGGGGGUUGGGGGGUUCCGCAGCGCCUCCCGACUCUCCUCAGGCGGACUGAAUGCGCCCUAGCAGGAGGAUUCGUGCGCCCUGCGCUCCAUGCGCCUUCCCAGGCGGGAUAUCGCAAUAAAGUGUG